rnacentral:lncRNA from 1 species
GCUUGUGUUUUUGGUUUGUUUUGUUUUUCUGAGACAGCCUCUCCCUAUAUAAUUCAGGCUGGCCUUGAAUUCACUAUGUAACCCAGGUUGACCUUGAACUCAUGGUGAUCCUCCUGCCUCAGCCUCCAGAGUGCUGGCAUUGUAGGUUUGCACCAUCACACCUGGCUCAACAUUAAUUCUUAAAACUAAAUACAUGAGCUGGGUAUAGUAGCACAUGCCUGUCAUGCUAGCAUUUUGGGAGGCUGAGACAGGAGGAACACCAGUUCAAGCCUAGCCUGACAACUGAGUGAUUUUGUGAGAUGUGGCUCAGUGCAAAGGCUCAAUCCCCAGCAACACACACACACACAUAUAUAAUCAUUGCAGUGGCCAGAAGCCAUUGUCCAAAGCACUGGCACCCAGCCUACAUUGAGGGCAGUCUCCUUCCCAAGGACCGGGGCGUGCUCGGCUGGCCGCACCUGGCAGUCCUGGCUGGGAUGCUAUUUACCCAGCGGUGACGGAAACCACUCCCUCUUUGCACAGAAGAAUUAAGCUACCAAGGACCGUGGUCGUCUCCGUUGGCAUCAUGGUCUUCAGUUUCCAAUCUUGAGGUGACUCUCGACCUGCCAUGUGGGCAUGUUUUACAGUUUUAAUUAUUUUUAUUGACAAAAAAAGUUCAUUCAGUCCUUGCCUGGUCUUUUAUCGUGUUUUUCUCUCAGACAUAAAAUGAGUGAAAGGAGCCUUCUGCUCUCGCGGUUUCAGUUUUGCCUCUAAAAUGCUGUGUUCGGGCGAAUGCUGCUGCCCCUUCCUUGGGGAAGACGCCCCUGACUGCGCUCAUGCUCACCUCGGUCAGCCACGGCCAGGUCUUCUCUCGGCAGACCCAUCCCACACGGGGUCCUUGUCCCUUCUGAAGGAGCGAGGACCAUGGCCACAGGCAACACCACCACAGGUGAUGUGCAGGCGCAGGGAAACGCUUCUGAGGUGUGUAGAAUGGAGCCCGGCACAAGGUAAGUCUCUGUUACAGAACCAUCGCUAUCAACACGGGCAUCACCGCUGUUUGUGUGACACCAGCUUAGUGAACCAGGAAAGACACACGAGUUUUCAUCCUGAAAACUCAAGACACGCGCAAGCCACAUGAUCCCACAGAACGGCCAUGGGGAAGGUAGAAAUUUCGAGAGCUGUGCCCUGGUCACAGUUCCAGGAAACUAAGGGCGCAGUGUCUGUGCAUACUUUGUGUUUUCUCUCCAAUCUUCUCAUCAGAUUCACACAUUGACAUCUUACUCUACAUAAUGGGGGCUGGGCGCUGAAAAUUUUUAAAGUUUAAAACUCAGAUCAAUACUGACUGCCCAAUAAAUCUGCUUCAACCUCAGAUUGAGGUCAAAGCCUUUGCAUUACAGAAACCUCUCUGUUACAUUAAAAUGCAGUGAGGAGCCAUUCGCACAGUGAAGAAUUCCAUCCCUGGCCUCCUGCAUCACCUUUUCCUACAGAGCAGCAGAACUCCGGAGGCUCCACCUCUGUGAGCUCCAGACCUCAGUUCCUCCUGAACACUCCACACUCUCUGCCCUCUGCACUUCCUUCCCAGGACCUCCCGGGGAAGCCCAGGGCUCCGCAGGUAACCGAGGGUGAGGACUCCUCCCUUCCCUCCUUCCUUCAUGCUAAAAUAAUCCCCUUCAAAAACCCAGACUCCGAAACACAGCAGUGUGGUCAGGAAAACUGCUAAUGCCCCUGUCACCCUUCUCUUUAUCCGGAGCUCAAGGUCUAGUCAUUUGCAUGGAAUGUGUUUCAUUUUUCCCAAGAAGAAGCAGUUCCCUGCCAUUAUUCAGUCAUAAAGAAUGAAAUCGUGUCUUUUGCAGAAAAAAUGGAUGGAACCUGAAAAUAUGUUAAGCCACAUAAGCCAAACCAGAAAGACAAAUAUCACGUUUUCUCUCGUGGGGGUGGUGGAGAAUGAAAAGGAAAGGGCAGAGAGCAUAAGGGGGCUGGAGAUGUCAAAGAAUGUUAUACACAGGUGGGAAUGAGCCAAAAUGAAACUCAUUGCUCUGUAUAACUAAUAUGUACCACAGGAGCAAAAGAAAUGCUUAUUUACUAUGAGAGAGUAAACUGCCUAAAGCCAAAGGUACAUUUUGGGGAAAGAAGUCUGCCCUGGGGCUGGGGACAGGCUCAGAGGUAGAGCACUUGCCUAGUAUUCCAGAGGCCUUGCCUUGCCUCCCCAGCACCAGAGAGAGAGAGAGAGAGAGAGAGAGAGGAAGAGAAGGGAAGG